rnacentral:rRNA from 1 species
GCUAACUUCGUGCCAGCAGCCGCGGUAAUACGAAGGGUGCAAUCGUUAAACGGAAUUAUGGGGCGUAACGCUUGCGUAGGCGGUUUCUUAAGUCCGUUGUGAAAGCCCUGGGCUCAACCUGGGAACUGCGAUGGAUACUGAGGAGCUGGAGUACGGUAGAGGAAGGUGUAAUUCCCGGUGUAGCGGUGAAAUGCGUAGAGAUCGGGAGGAACAUCAGUGGCGAAGGCGGCCUUCUGGACCAGUACUGACGCUGAGGCACGAAAGCGUGGGGAGCAAACAGGAUUAGAUACCCUAGUAGUC